GCCUCGUUGCCGCAGUAGGCAGCGCGUCAGUCUCAUAAUCUGAAGGCUGUGAGUUCGACCCUCACACGGGGCA
rfam:Gasterosteus aculeatus cont1.014835, whole genome shotgun sequence.